rnacentral:lncRNA from 1 species
GCAUAUUAAGGUGGUACCUAACACCUGAACUAAAAUUAAUUUGGCUCGUUUAAUUUUCUUAAAAUUUUGACAAAUUAUUUACCUUGACCCUUUAACAAAAAUAUAAAAAAAUCAAAAAGAUGGAACCAACCGUUUAAUCAGAAAAAUUACACUGGUUAUAUAGCAGUUUGACAAACACUUAUUUUGAUCAUUGAGAAGCUCAAUAUUCCCUUGAGAACACAACGUCAUUAAAACGUUCUGCUUAUUUUACAGAGUUAUCUCCCUGUAGUGUUAGGUACCACCUUAAUUGAAAA